rnacentral:rRNA from 1 species
CCUACGGGCGGCAGCAGUGGGGGAUAUUGCACAAUGGGGGAAACCCUGAUGCAGCGACGCCGCGUGGGUGAAGAAGGGCCUCGGCGCGUAAAGCCCUGUCAGCAGGGAAGAAAAUGACGGUACCUGAAGAAUCAGCCCCGGCUAACUACGUGCCAGCAGCCGCGGUAAUACGUAGGUGGCAAGCGUUGUCCGGAUUUAAUGGGUGUAAAGGGAGUGCAGCCGGGGAGACAAGUCAGAUGUGAAAUCCACGGGCUGAACCCGGGACCUGCAUUUGAAACUGUGUCCCUUGAGUGUCGGAGAGGAAAGCGGAAUUCCUUGUGUAGCGGUGAAAUGCGUAGAUAUAAGGAAGAACACCAGUGGCGAAGGCGGAUUACUGGACGAUAACUGACGGUGAGGCGCGAAAGCGUGGGGAGCAAACAGGAUUAGAUACCCGAGUAGUC